rnacentral:tRNA from 1 species
GCACCAUUAGUUCAGUGGUAGAACACCAGCUUCCCAAGCUGGUUAUACGGGUUCGAUUCCCGCAUGGUGCUCCA